ensembl:lncRNA
AUGUGUAAAUACAAUUCUUGUCACGUUGUCUGCGCCCUGCUCUCUUCACACCCCGGCAUAUGUUGCAGCAGAGCCUGGAUCAGUGCCACAUGCAAGCCUGCUGCCCCAGCUACUCUCCCUGCUCUCCGCCACCUGUGCUCCCUCCCUCAGCGCCUGGCUCCGGGCUCUCUGGCUCUGACACACACCUGUGACUGGGAAAUAGUCUCCAGCCGAUGCCUCUCCUCCACCUCCGAGCUGUCACUCAUCCAGUUCUUCCGCAACACAAGUUUUAUAGACAACCCCCAUGGAAACUCUACACAAUCUCCUCAAAUUAAGCACAUCAACCCACUCCUGUCAACUCACAGGAAAUUCAGAACAGUGCUAAAGUAGGACAGCAGAGAUUUCUUUUCAUUAGGAUGUCUUCCAACUCACCCACAUGUCGUUCCAAACAUGUUUGACUUUCUUUCUUCUUCGGAACACAAAAGGAGAUGUUUUGAAGAAUGCCCACGCUGCUCUUUUCCAUAUUUCACUAUUAACUAGUUGCUUAUUAGCAUGCAUAUUCCUAGCAUGAUUGAUUUUUAUUAGUACUUAUGAAGCACUUAUUAAUGCCUUGUUCUGCAUGAACGUAUUUUAGAGCCCUUAAUCCUACUCCAUACAUAAACUUAACAAUUACCUUGCUAAAAGUUAAUUGGGAAUUUUUUAAGGGAAAAGUCAUAGUUAAUGGUCCCCAAACUAAAGCGUGACCCUCUAGUUUUUGAAACUAGUCUAGUUUCAAAAAUAUUAUGACUUUUGCAUGUUCCAAAAAUCCUUGCAAGUUAUAUGAUGGCUUUAUAAUUUAUUCUUUGUAAUUUGCAUAUUUCUUUCAGUUUUAAUUUGUGAUUGCAAGUGCAUUUUAAAACUUAGCACUGUGAAUCAGUUUCUCAGUUUUUUUCUUUUGGCUUAAGAAGAUGUGGAAUGUACUGCUCAAUUCAGAUGGACCACUUUUAUGAUGCUGUUCAUGGUGCUUUUUCAUUCUCAGCCCACUUUAUAUUGAGUAUCUUUAAUUAAACUUGUACAUACUAUAGAUAUGCACCUAUAUAUGUUUUUACAUUGUUCUUAUAUUUUAAAAAUACCAGCAUGUUUUUACAUCUACAAUUAUUUUUUGUAAUUACAUGUGUAAUUACAAUAUAGAUCCUACACCUACCGCUUAACCAACCUUUAAACCUAACAAUACCAAGAAACCUGUUACUAACCUUACCCAUAUCCUAUCCCAAUAGCAGUAAUAAAAUACAACAUGAACACAAUAAACACAUUGUACCACAACAAUUGUUUGUUUAUUUAUUUAUUUAUUUUUGAUGAAAGUACAUUAAAGUAACAUAAUAUUAAAUGAGACCUUUUUCUUUUGGGAGCUUGAACAUUCCUGGUCAUUAUAUGCUUUCAUUGUAUGACAAUGAGCAAGAGCAGCGUGAACAUUCUUCAAAAUGUAUUAUUUCUCUAAAAAAGACAGUUAUGUGUUUGUAAUAACAUUAGGAUGAAUAAAUGAUGACUGAACUUAUAAUUUAAGUUUCAUUUAAUAUGAUAUUUUGUAAGGCCAAAAUAAAAAGACAUUACAUAAGCAUGUAUAUACAAUAUCUGAAAAU